UCUCCCUCAACAGCGCUAUCUGGUUAGGUUCUGGAGUGAAGGCGGCCAAGAUCGGCAUUCGAAUCGGAGUUUAAAGAUAACUUGAUUUUCGGACCUGUGAAGAAAAUUCCAGAAUUGUUGGAAUCCAUUCCGUCAAGAAAACUCGAACUCGGGAAGGCACGCGUCGACCAAGUACCAAUCGAUACGGGGAGGUGUUCGAGAGCUGUGCGGUCACAGAGGGGUGUCGUUCCGGAGCGUCAGUCCUUGGUCGGUCUUUUAGAGUCCUUUGUCCGUUUUCAUAUUUAGAAUCUUUUGUAUUUUCCUUCAUAAUUGUAUUUUUCAUUUGAAAUAUUUGAUUUUAAUUUUGUAUUUCAUUUUUACAUUUGCAAUUUCCUUUGUAAUAUUUUCGAAA